rnacentral:rRNA from 1 species
AAGACCUUGCGCUUUUGGAGCGGCCGAUGCCUGAUUAGCUUGUUGGUAAGGUAAAAGCUUACCAAGGCUUCGAUCAGUAGCUGGUCUGAGAGGACGGCCAGCCACACUGGGACUGAGACACGGCCCAGACUCCUACGGGAGGCAGCAGUGGGGAAUUUUGGACAAUGGGGGCAACCCUGAUCCAGCCAUGCCGCGUGAGUGAAGAAGGCCUUCGGGUUGUAAAGCUCUUUCAGCCGGAACGAAACGGUUACGGUUAAUACCCGUGAUUACUGACGGUACCGAAAGAAGAAGCACCGGCUAACUACGUGCCAGCAGCCGCGGUAAUACGUAGGGUGCGAGCGUUAAUCGGAAUUACUGGGCGUAAAGGGUGCGCAGGCGGUUUUGUAAGUCAGAUGUGAAAUCCCCGGGCUUAACCUGGGAACU